rnacentral:rRNA from 1 species
UACAGAGGUCUCGAGCGUUAGGCGGAAUCACUGGGCUUAAAGCGUGUGUAGGCGGAUCGUUAAGUGCCUUGUGAAAUCCCACGGCUCAACCGUGGAACUGCUUGGCAUACUGGCGGUCUUGAGCAACCUAGGGGCGAGCGGAACAAAUGGUGGAGCGGUGAAAUGCGUUGAUAUCCUCAGGAACACCGGUGGCGAAGGCGACUCACUGGGUCUUUACUGACGCUGAUGCACGAAAGCUAGGGUAGCAAACGGG